GUAAACGAUGUUGACUUGGAGGUUGUGCCCUUGAGGCGUGGCUUCCGGAGCUAACGCGUUAAGUCGACCGCCUGGGGAGUACGGCCGCAAGGUUAAAACUCAAAUGAAUUGACGGGGGCCCGCACAAGCGGUGGAGCAUGUGGUUUAAUUCGAUGCAACGCGAAGAACCUUACCUGGUCUUGACAUCCACAGAACUUUCCAGAGAUGGAUUGGUGCCUUCGGGGACUGUGAGACAGGUGCUGCAUGGCUGUCGUCAGCUCGUGUUGUGAAAUGUUGGGUUAAGUCCCGCAACGAGCGCAACCCUUAUCCUUUGUUGCCAGCGGUCCGGCCGGGAACUCAAAGGAGACUGCCAGUGAUAAACUGGAGGAAGGUGGGGAUGACGUCAAGUCAUCAUGGCCCUUACGACCAGGGCUACACACGUGCUACAAUGGCGCAUACAAAGAGAAGCGACCUCGCGAGAGCAAGCGGACCUCAUAAAGUGCGUCGUAGUCCGGAUUGGAGUCUGCAACUCGACUCCAUGAAGUCGGAAUCGCUAGUAAUCGUGGAUCAGAAUGCCACGGUGAAUACGUUCCCGGGCCUUGUACACACCGCCCGUCACACCAUGGGAGUGGGUUGCAAAAGAAGUAGGUAGCUUAACCUUCGGGAGGGCGCUUACCACUUUGUGAUUCAUGACUGGGGUG
rnacentral:rRNA from 1 species